rnacentral:rRNA from 1 species
GAGUUUGAUCCUGGCUCAGGAUAAACGCUGGCGGCGUGCCUAACACAUGCAAGUCGAACGCUCUCUUACGCAAGUGAGAGGGAGUGGCGGACGGGUGAGUAACACAUGGGAAUCGACCCUUUCGUGAGGAAUACCACCGGGAAACCGGUGACAAUACCGCAUACGCUCUUGGCGGAGCAAAGCUCUCGGCAACGGGGGCGCGAGAGGACGAGCCUGUGCCUGAUUAGUUAGUUGGUGGGGUAAGAGCCUACCAAGACUGCGAUCAGUCGCUGGUCUGAGAGGAUGAUCAGCCACACUGGGAUUGAGAACGGCCCAGACUCCUACGGGGGGCAGCAGUGAGGAAUCUUCGGCAAUGGGGGCAACCCUGACCGAGCAACGCCGCGUGCAGGAUGACGGCCUUCGGGUUGUAAACUGCUUUUCUGAGGGACGAGCAAGGACGGUACCUCAGGAAGAAGCUCCGGCUAACUACGUGCCAGCAGCCGCGGUAAUACGUAGGGAGCGAGCGUUGUCCGGAGUUACUGGGCGUAAAGCGCACGCAGGCGGUCAGUUGCGUUCGUGCCGACAGCGACUCGCUUACCGAGUCGAGGAGUACGAAAACGGGCUGACUUGAGGGCCAGAGAGGGACGCGGAACUCCGGGUGGAGUGGUGAAAUGCGUAGAGAUCCGGAAGAACACCAAAGGCGAAGGCAGUGUCCUGGCUGGUACCUGACGCUCAGAGGCGAGAGCCAGGGGAGCGAACGGGAUUAGAUACCCCGGUAGUCCUGGCCGUAAACGAUGACCACGAGAUGUGGGAGGGAUCGACCCCUUCCGUGUCGCAGCUAACGCAGUCAGUGGUCCGCCUGGGGAGUACGGUCGCAAGAUUAAAACUCAAAGGAAUUGACGGGGACCCGCACAAGCAGCGGAGCGUGUGGUUUAAUUCGAUGCAACGCGAAGCACCUUACCAGGGUUUGACAUGUCGUCGCACCUCCGAGAGAUCGGAGUACCCGCAAGGGACGGCGACACAGGUGCUGCAUGGCUGUCGUCAGCUCGUGCCGUGAGGUGUUGGGUUAAGUCCCGCAACGAGCGCAACCCUCAUUGCUAGUUGAAGCUAUCUAGCGAGACUGCCACGAUCAACGUGGAGGAAGGUGGGGAUGACGUCAAGUCAGCACGGCCCUUACAUCCUGGGCGACACACACGCUACAAUGGUCGAGACAAAGGGAGGCCAACCCGCGAGGGGGAGCAAAUCCCGGCAAACUCGGUCUCAGUUCAGAUUGCAGGCUGCAACCCGCCUGCAUGAAGGUGGAGUUGCUAGUAACCGUGAGUCAGCACAUCACGGUGAAUACGUUCCCGGGUCUUGUACACACCGCCCGUCACACCACGAAAGUCGGCAACCCCUGAAGCCGCUGGGCUAACUCGUAAGAGAGACAAGCGUCGAGGGUGGGGUCGGUGAUUGGGGUGAAGUCGUAACCAAGGUAGCAAU